GCGAUCGCUUUGAAGCUACCCUCUUUCCCCUCCCGGCUUCCCGCGUUGUACGCGGUGCCUGUCUCUGGGGUCCUCUCCUGGCCUCUACCCCGAGUCUUGCUUCCCGCUCUGCCGCCUCCAUCGUGAGGAACUAUGAAUGGGACGGCUGAUUUUCGAGAGCCGAAUGCGCAAGUGUCAAGACCAAUUCCUGACAUAGGGGCUGCUUAUAUCCCGACCGAGGAAGAGUGGAGACUCUUUGCAGAGUGCCAUGAAGAAUGCUUCUGGUACAGAUCUGUGCCAUUGGCUGCCACAAGUAUGCUGAUUACUCAAGGAUUAAUCAGUAAAGGAAUCCUGUCAAGUCAUCCAAAAUAUGGUUCCAUUCCUAAACUUAUAUUUGCUUGUAUCAUGGGAUACUUUGCUGGAAAGCUUUCUUACGUGAAAACUUGCCAAGAGAAGUUCAAGAAACUUGAGAACUCCCCCCUUGGAGAAGCACUGCGGUCAGGUGAACUGCGACGCUCUUCAUCACCUGGGAACUAUGCUCAAAAGUCUAAAUAUGACUCAAAUGUGAGUGGUCAGUCCACCUUUGGGUCAUCUCCAGCAGCAGACAACAUAGAAAAGGAGACGCUCCCUCGUUACGAGCCAAUUCCAUUCAGUGCUUCUAUGACCGAGUCCACUCCCACUGGUAUUACUGACCAUAUUGCCCAAGGACCUGAUCCCAACCUUGAAGAAAGUCCCCAAAGAAAAAGUGUUACAUAUGAGGAAUUAAGGAGUAAGAACAGAGAGUCAUAUGGAGUAAUUUUACCCCACAAGACUGACCCCUCAGUCAGGCCUGUGCAGGAAAGAGUGCCCAGAAAAGAAGUCAAAGUAAACAAAUAUGGAGAUACUUGGGAUGAGUGAAAGAUGCCAUCAUUGGACCUACUGAAGGCCUUCCACACCCAGCUUCAUCCAGGCGGUCGUUUGUACCUACAUGCUUGGACUCAGCAGCACAUUUCAUAAAUACAUUUAAAACGAAAAAAAAAAAAA